rnacentral:rRNA from 1 species
AUUGAACGCUGGCGGCAUGCCUUACACAUGCAAGUCGAGCGGAGCGGCGAACGGGUGAGUAAUGUCUCGGAACGUGCCCAGUAGUGGGGGAUAACUACCCGAAAGGGGAGCUAAUACCGCAUACUAUUGGAUCAGCCGCGGUCGGAUUAGCUAGUUGGUGGGGUAACGGCUUACCAAGGCGACGAUCCGUAGCUGGUUUGAGAGGAUGGUCAGCCACACUGGAACUGAGACACGGCCCAGACUCCUACGGUGGGCAGCAGUGGGGAAUCUUGGACAAUGGGGGAAAGCCUGAUCCAGCCAUGCCGCGUGUGCGAUGAAGGCCUGCGGGUUGUAAAGCACUUUAGGCUGGCAAGCGGUACCAGCAGAAUAAGCACCGGCUAACUACGUGCCAGCAGCCGCGGUAAUAC